GUCCCACGCCCUAAACGAUGUCAACUGGUUGUUGGGAAUUCACUUUCUCAGUAACGAAGCUAACGCGUGAAGUUGACCGCCUGGGGAGUACGGCCGCAAGGUUAAAACUCAAAGGAAUUGACGGGGACCCGCACAAGCGGUGGAUGAUGUGGUUUAAUUCGAUGCAACGCGAAAACCUUACCCACCUUUGACAUGUAUGGAAGGCCGCAGAGACGCGGUUGUGCCCCGAAAGGGAGCCAUAACACAGGUGCUGCAUGGCUGUCGU
rnacentral:rRNA from 1 species